rnacentral:rRNA from 1 species
UACGUAAGGUGCAAGCGUUGUCCGGAAUUAUUGGGCGUAAAGAGCUUGUAGGCGGUUUGUCGCGUCUGCUGUGAAAUUUCGGGGCUCAACCCCGAACUUGCAGUGGGUACGGGCAGACUAGAGUGUGGUAGGGGAGACUGGAAUUCCUGGUGUAGCGGUGAAAUGCGCAGAUAUCAGGAGGAACACCGAUGGCGAGGGCAGGUCUCUGGGCCACUACUGACGCUGAGAAGCGAAAGCAUGGGGAGCGAACAGG